CCCGCAGCAGCCAUGUUCCCAGUGUCAGCUCCAAGUGUCAGCAUGAGGUGUCCGCUGGGAAUGGGCAGGAGAAACGGGUCUGUCCCCUGAAGGCUGGGGACAGGAGAUCUGUUGCUGUGACGAUUUUCCUGGGCAAGGCUCGUGUGUGGUGAGUGAGCAGAGGCGUGCGUGCUCCUGGGCUCCACCCCAGGUGACAAGAACGGAGUUACUCAGAGCACAGCCUGCUCUCCACAGAACCUGGCCUGGGCCCCUCCAGCAGCUAUGGGUCAGCAUCUGCUCGGUCGGUGUUUGAAGACCCUUACGGCCCACAGCCACGGCAAAUGAGCAGAACAAGCACUCUGCGGGAAACAGAGGACAGGGAGGAAAUCGGAACCCAGCUCUCGCCCCGUCGCUAGGGACCCCUGGCUUGCGUUUGUCAUGACUUAAAGGGAGACCAUGCAGAGCUCUGUCCCCCGCCAGGUAACUGGUGCAGGCAUUUUGUCGGUGGCAUUUCUGUUGGGCUCCUGCGGCGGCUGAGCCCCUGAGGCCAGAGUGGCCUGCUGCUGUUUGCAGGGCGCUGGUCCCGAGGCUGUUCUGGCUCAGAAGCCCUUGGUGAUGUGUGCUGGGGAGAUGGGGGCUGGGGAGAGGUCUCCAGCUGGGCCCUUGUUCCCCCUGCACCCUGCUGGACGCAGCAGAGCAGAAGCAGCUCCGACCGCUGACGGCUGAAGUUUUUCACCUGGCAAAGCCAGUUAUGCCCUGUGCUGCACACGACAGCCCCACCACACGACGGCUCCCACAGCCCCCCGUACCCAUGAACCACCUAGGUGGUUCCAGCCCAGGGCAGCUUGGCCUCAGGGUGCAACACCCCCAGCUGCUCCACAAUGGGCGACUUGCUUCACUGUGUCCAGGGGGCGCUGCAUCUCUGGAUCCCACUGACCACAGUCCAGGAGCCGGACUUCCCGACUCGGAUCCUGGCUCGGCGGCUUCCUGGCUGGCUGGAAUGUGAGCUAGGACUGCAGGCACUGUGAUGGGCUUGGACUGGUGGCCCCAACGCCUGGACCAGGGCUUGACUCAUUAUAGAUACUGGAGAAACAUUCUUCACUGUGUGAAGUGACAUCCGGGCAAAUGCGGGCGGGACACGGGAGGAAUGCCCGUCAGCGUGAUUGGCCCGGAACCUGCCUGUGGGUGGGUUGGUGGGUCUAGAGACACCCGUGGCCCCGCUUCUGCCUGUCAGGGGUCUCUCAUUAUAACAAAUACCCGAGACAGUUGGCUUAUAGAGGAAAGGGUUACCUGCUCACAGUUCGGGAGGUUCCAGUCCACCUCUGACUCGCUCUGCUGUUUGGGCUCUGCUGUGGCGCCAGGGAGCCUGCUCAGCACGGGUGUGAGAGAAAGAGGGUCCCAGAGCCCCUUCAAGGGCGCGCCCCAUGACCUAAGACCUCCCAGGAGGCCCCCUCUUAAACGUUCCACCCCCUCCUGACUGUGGCAGGACAGACCAGGCCUUCCCACAUGGGUUGAGGUCGUGGGUCGUGGGGGAACACCGCAGAUCCUGACCACAGCAGCCGUUUUAGUGUAGUUCCAGUCCUGACCCCUCCCGCAGAGGAAAAGGGGAAACUCGGGGAGGGCCGGGGUCAGGCCCUACAGGGGUUUUGUGUUUCUCAGAGGAAUUCUGGGUCUGCUUCCUCUUUGCAGGGGUCCUUCCCUGGAGGAGGGGUGGGUGGCCCUGCCCUCUCUUUGGAAACCCUAGGAGGAUCUGGAAGCCCGGGUGGUGGGAGGCUCCUCUGCUCCGGGGUUUCUUUGUUCUGUGAUUUGGAGCUGGCAGCCGCCCCACAAGCCGCAGACCGUGAAGGCUGCGGCUGCUCAGACAGGCUGUGGUCAGCACAGACAAGAAGGUCCCGGGCAGCCCGUCUGGCGUCUGGGAGUCAGACCCGCUAGCCUCCGGGGCUGCCUGGGGCAGAGCUGGGGCCGUGAGCCCCCCUUUGAGGCUUGUGUGGCGUGGAGUCUGGUAGCUGGGGGCUGUUUCGGGAGUUUGUGGAGAGCCUUGGGUGCCCACGGGAGCCACUCCAGGCCCAUCCCACGAGCUGUGGGCCAGCAGCCUCCUCCACUGCAGGUGCCAGGGCCACCCGGGCACGGAGGCUGGCCUCGCCCCCCACUGGGGGCUGCUUCCUUGACACAGUGAGGUCCUCUCUGAGGUCUGCCCCGUAGGCCUGGGAGUGUGUUACAUGAGGCACGGCUAUCACCGGGGUGGCCAGUCUCAGGAGGCAAGGGGGUCCUGCCUGCUCUCAGCUGGGCAGGCAGAACCCUCCACCCAGCCACGCCUCCCCACGAGGGUCAGGGCUUGCAGCAGAGGAAGAAGUCCACAGAGAAGCCAAGGUGGCUCUCAGGCCACAGUGCCUUCCCAUCUGCCGGAGACCCCCGGAAAUACCCCUGGAAAUGCCCCUGGAUGCCCUCUCAGUGGCAAAGGGACCCCCAGAACGAGGCAGCUCUGCUGGCGGCUGUUACCCGGUUCAGCUUUGCUUCCUCAGGAGCAUUCUCAGCCGGGGUGGUGGGGUGGCAGCCGGUCCGCCUGCUCAGCCUGCCCACAGGGUUGUCACCCAGCCAGAACGAGGCCAUGUUGGCCAAUGUCCUUUCCAAAGUGCAGGUUGUGAUGUCCACAACUAGUGGGGCAAUUGGAGGCAGCAGAGGACUGAGCUUCAGGAGUGGGCAGAGCUGGCCCCCAAAUAAAGUGAAACCGCGAGGCUCCCCGGCCUGCAGCUUCGGGGCCGAAGCCCCAGAGCCCGAAUCUUCUGAGCUGUGCUUCUCCUGUGGGGCCAUCCAUCCGCCAAAGGGUGGACGGAGCGAGGCCUUCCCUGCCCUUCUCCAUAAAUACUCAAUGACAAGCUCCCAGGCCAGUCAGUGCCCGUGUCACCUGGCGGAAGGUAACGGGGCUUGGCGGCAGAGAGGCUUUAGGGCCUCUCACCGACAGGACAUGCCAGCCAGAGAAGCAGGGCCCACAGAGGCUAUGGCGGCUUCAGCAGCAGCGCUGGGGGGCGGCCAGAGACUGGGGUCCAGAGCUGGAGCCGUGCUGGACCAAAUGCAGGGAAGGCAGGCAGGGAUGGCACUGAGGGGCCCCGUCACCGGUGUGGGCCACUGGAGGCAGACAGCCUGGGGCUCCAGGGCCCUACGAAGUGACUGUCACUUCUGGCUGGUUGGGACUCACAGUCUAGGAAGUGUGCAGUGGACUGGGACACUCACCUUUAGGUGGCUUUGGUGCAGCGCUGACUGGUGAGCGUCCCUCGGCCCUGCCCCUCACCCUUUGGCUCUUGUGAUGAAAUUGGAGGCAUCUCCGGUUUUUAAAUUUUGUCAGUAGUAAGAGAUGUGACGAAGGUAAGGAUCUUGAGAGGGGGUCUGUCCAGGGGGCCCUGAAGGCUACCACUGCGUCCUUAUAAGAGAGGUAGCAGAGAUGACCCCACACAGAGGAGCUGGCCAUGCAAAAACAGAGGAGGGCCACUGCCAAGGAACGGAGGGAGGGUCCCCCCCUCAGAGCCUGCAGGGGGAGCAAGCCCUGCUGCCGCCUGAUUUUGGAUUUCUGCCUCUGGAGCAAUGCUGCUGUGUGAAGCCACCCGUUUGUGGCACUUGGUCCAGUGCCCCAGGGCUAGGUACAGGAGCUCUGAUCUUUGGACUUUGAAUUGGUCCUUUCCUACUUAGACGUCACCCUGACCUCCUGUCCCCCUGGCCAAGAGCACUCUAGGAGUGUCUUCCCUGCCUCCCCCAAUGUCCCAUCUCCCUGGAAGCCCCUUCCCUUGGCCUCAGCAAGCACUGUUACUGGGCCCCCCCUCCAGGGUCAGCUUGAACUAUGGGGUGCAGCCUGAGAACCUUACUGGGGCCUGAGCCCAGGCCAGCUACACUUGCCCAUGGGAACAGGGAAUCCACGGUGGGUGGUCCUUCAGCUCAGAGCGGAGUGCCACCUACCUGGCCUGCGUUUCCCAAGCCUCUGUGCCUCAGCAGGCAGCAGGCACCCAUCAGGGGACACUGCGUGCCAGUGAGGAGUUGCUGACGUCGACGCCCAUGUUUGAUCUUUCUGGACUUUCUGAAGUGCUGCCGAGCCCCUGAUCAACUCAAACACACAGAAGAUGGGGCCCUCUUCCCUACCUUUGAUCUCUAGAAGUGAAAAACCCCUGAGUAGCCAGGAAACACAUUUGUUUCAUGAUUCUCACUUGCGUGUGAGAAUCAUUGUUUGUCCAAGGAGGGUGACCAUGGCUGAGGUCCAGGUAAGAUGGCAUCGGGCCGCGGAACAAGGCGGAACAAAGCCGCAGCUGGGCCAGCAGCCUCAGGGCCCGAGGCUUUAAUCCAUUGGCACAGGGAGAAUGGCCUCUUCCCCCCUCCCUCCAGCGGUCUGUCUCCCUGAGAGGAGUACAUUUGCCACUGGAUUCCAGCCGUCCUCGGCUGCUCUGCGUGGGAACACCUUCCUAAGCCAGCUGAUCCAGGCGAAGCUUCAGGAGAGAACAUCCCCCGGCCCCGGGUCCCGCGUGGGAACAGGCGUACGUUUCCAUCGCGCGAGGUUUCCGACGUCACAGCUUACGGUGAUCUACAGGAAUCAAGACAGAGGGGUAUUGGCAGAGAGACAGACGCACGGGUCAGCAGAACAGAACAGAGAACCCAGAAAUACGCCCAACUGGUUUUUGACAAAGACGCAAAGCGCUUCAACGUGAGAGUGAGUGAUGGUGUCGGAGCCGAUACCCCACAUGCACAGAACGGCCCUGGACGAAGGGCCGGCUUUUAUAGGAGUCUACUCAAGAUGGUCGCAGAUUGACUGCAAGGCACCAACUAGAAGACUCUGAAAAAAUCCACAGACAAUCUGCAGGAUCUAAGUUGGAUGGCCGAGGAGGUGUUAUACAACACCAGUUUCCCCAAGAGGAGAGAUGGAGGACAGCGCCAUUGUUAUUAGAAGCCUUUGCUCUGAGAAAACUCCUGUGCAGAGGAGACAGGGUGAGUCACAGACUGAGGGAAAGUGUCCACGCACCACCCCUCCAACAAAGGACAAGGGACUCUCCAAGGCAGCAGCCGAAACCAAACCAUCCAGUCAGAACCUGGGCAAGACCCUGAGCUCACUAGAGGGGGAGUUCUGAGGACCACCGUCACCUGGAAAGGCGGUCAAUGCCAUCAGAGUCGGGAAAUCAAUACCCGGGGAAAUGCUGCCUAGCGGCUCCCGGGACAGCUGACGUGGCAGCAGCAGAUGCCCACCGCGUGUGGGGACACGGGAUCAGCCUCUGUUGCCAGGGGAAGUGCCUCUGCCCUGGAGUGGAGUUUGGCAGCUUCUCAGAAGACCAGACCUGCGCUUGCCACAUGACCUGCUGAUUCCUCGGCUGGGCAAGCGUCCCAGGGAAACGCAGAACGUGCUCAUAUGAAACCUGCAUGCACCUGCUCAGAGCAACUGUAUUCAUGAUCACCCCCAACUGGAAGCAGCCCUGAUGUCCUUCAAGAAGGUCAACGGUUGACCAAAAGAUGGUGGGCCCGUAUCUUGGAACACUGAGGGACAGACUAUGAAAAAUGCCAGGACGUAGGUGAACCCCUGAGGUAUAUGCAGAGUGGGAAAAAAAAAAAACGUCUCCAAGGCUUCCGCACAGUACUAUUCCACUUAGCAUUUUUGAAAGGGCGAAAUUAUAGAGAUGGAGAACAGAUCAGCGGGUGCCAGAGUCCGGGGGAGGCUCUGUGGCUGGGGCGGGCGGCACCAGGCCUUGUGCUGGAGCCGUGGCGGAUCUGACUGGCGGGGUCACACGGUCUGCAAUGUGAUGGAGUCCCAGAGAGCCCAAGUCACACAGGCAGACACCAGUGCACAUGAGGUAGGGGCAUCUGUGUAAGACCAGAGAGCUCUGCCCACGUCCACUUCUUCAACCCAGAACCUCUGGGCGCCUCAGGAAGAGAGAGAUGACUGCAGAUCUCGGAAGAUUGCCAUCGGGGCCUCGCUGGGAUCAGCAGGCCUUCCGGACCCCUGUGCUGCCACUGGGGGUGCUGACAGCUGGGCACAAAGCAAGUGACCCAGAGGAAGUCCACGGGCUUGGCAUGGAGGCCUGUGGACAGCCACUGUCCCUGUCACAAGGCUUCACAAAGAUGGAGGGAGGAGUGGGGCUGGGAAGGGACUUCACAAUGCCUGGUGUGGUCCCAGGAGACCCCAGAGGCCUCAGCUCGGGACUGGAGACUCCGCUAGAGGAGUCAGAGCACUCUUCCCGCCAGGAGGGGAGUCCGAGCUGGGCCCAGUGCAAUGCUAUUUGCAGGGAGUGGUCACCCGGGGGCAAGGAGAGGGCUGGAGCAGAGGUCCCUGCUUAUGCUCCUUCUGUCCUCUCGGUCCAGGGACACCUGCAGUGUGUGCUGAGCACAGAGGCCGGGCAAGCGCAAUGGAGAGAGAGGAGGCCAGUCCUCACCAUCCAGUGGCUCCUUACAGCCCCACGGUGCUAACAGUUGCUGUGAAUGUGGAUUUUCUUCCCUGCUUUCCCCCAUUGUACCAUACACAACGUGGGAUUCCUCUUGACAUUUCAUAAACGCUCCCAGAGGAACGAACCACCCAGACCCCCGCCCCGUUCCCGGGUCCUCUAUGCACUGGCCUCCCUUUGCUCUACACAGGACCACUCCCCCUCCCCCUUAUUCCUCUUUAGCUUCCACACAUGAGAGAAAGCUUCAUCCAUUUUCCUGCAAAUGACACGGUUUCAUCGUUCUUUGUGGCUGAAUAAAGCUCCAUUGUGUAUAUA